CAAUUUGUACUGGUCCUGCGAACCCUUCACUCGCUCAUCAUCACCUCAAACGCGCACUGCCCCGUAAAACACAAACUGAAUCGAAAGUUCUGAAACCUUAAAAACCUCAAACAACAUCCAUCUAGUUAUCUGCCUGUCUCUCUGAAACUCUGUCCUUCAGUUAUAGCCAUAAACCUUAACAAUGUCUCUGACACAAAAAUCUUUCCUCCCUUUCUUUCUCUCGCUCAUUUUCCUCCUCUCCACCAUCACCACAACCACUUCCACUUUACAAAACCUCCUUCGAAGCCAAGGCUUACCAGGUGGUCUGUUUCCAAACAACGUCAAGUCCUACAAUCUUGACCAAAAUGGUCGCUUAGAAGUGCAGUUAGAUGGCCCAUGCAUGACUAAGUAUGAGGCAAGAGUGGUCUUUGACAGUGUGGUUAGAGCUAAUCUUAGUUAUGGUGGACUUAUGGGGCUGGAAGGACUUAUCCAAGAAGAGCUUUUUCUCUGGUUUCCUGUUAAAGGUUUUUUAGUGAAUGAUCCAUCUUCUGGGUUGAUCUUGGUUGAUAUUGGUCUUGCUCAUAAGCAGCUUUCUCGUUCUCUCUUUGAAGUUCCUCCUGUUUGCAAGCCUCGAGAGGCUGAUCUAUUGGAGAAUCUUGGAAGGAAGAUGGGAUUUCAAGCUCAGAGAUGAGAGCAAAUUCAACUCCAUCAAAUUGAGACAGAAGUUUUCCAUUUUUGUUUCUUGUUUUUUGUUAUCUUUUUUUUUUGCCUGUAUGGAUGUUA